rfam:Schistosoma haematobium scaffold583_11, whole genome shotgun sequence.
AUCUAGCUGAUUAGUCCCAUAUAGGAUGAAAUGCAUAUCCUAGAU